UCGUCACACUAUCAUUAACUGAAUCCAUAGGUUAAUGAGGCGAACCGGGGGAACUGAAACAUCUAAGUACCCCGAGGAAAAGAAAUCAACCGAGAUUCCCCCAGUAGCGGCGAGCGAACGGGGAGGAGCCCAGAGCCUGAAUCAGCAUGUGUGUUAGUGGAAGCGUCUGGAAAGGCGCGCGAUACAGGGUGACAGCCCCGUACACAAAAGCGCAUGUGCUGUGAGCUCGAUGAGUAGGGCGGGACACGUGGUAUCCUGUCUGAAUAUGGGGGGACCAUCCUCCAAGGCUAAAUACUCCUGACUGACCGAUAGUGAACCAGUACCGUGAGGGAAAGGCGAAAAGAACCCCGGCGAGGGGAGUGAAAAAGAACCUGAAACCGUGUACGUACAAGCAGUG
rnacentral:rRNA from 1 species